rnacentral:rRNA from 1 species
UCAUUUAGAGGAAGUAAAAGUCGUAACAAGGUCUCCGUAGGUGAACCUGCGGAGGGAUCAUUACACAAAUAUGAAGGCGGGCUGGAACCUCUCGGGGUUACAGCCUUGCUGAAUUAUUCACCCUUGUCUUUUGCGUACUUCUUGUUUCCUUGGUGGGUUCGCCCACCACUAGGACAAACAUAAACCUUUUGUAAUUGCAAUCAGCGUCAGUGACAAAUUAAUAAUUACAACUUUCAACAACGGAUCUCUUGGUUCUGGCAUCGAUGAAGAACGCAGCGAAAUGCGAUAAGUAGUGUGAAUUGCAGAAUUCAGUGAAUCAUCGAAUCUUUGAACGCACAUUGCGGCCAUAGGUAUUCCUUUGGCCAUGCCUGUUCGAGCGUCAUUUACACCCUCAAGCCUAGCUUGGUGUUGGGCGUCUGUCCCGCCGAUUCUCGCGCGCGGACUCGCCUCAAAGUCAUUGGCCGCGGUCGUGCCAGCCCCCUCGCGCAGCACAUUUUGCGCUUCUCGGAGGCUCGGCGGAUCCCGCGCUCCAGCAAGGACCUUUCACGACUUGACCUCGGAUCGGGUAGGAGUACCCGCUGAACUUAAGCAUAUCAAUAAG